UGGGGAAUAUUGGACAAUGGGCGCAACCCUGAUCCAACCAUGCCGCGUGAGUGAUGAAGGCCUUAGGGUCGUAAAGCCCUUUCGCCGGGGAAGAUAAUGACGGUACCCGGUAAAGAAAUCCCGGCUAACUCCGUGCCAGCAGCCGCGGUAAUACGGAGGGGGUUAGCGUUGUUCGGAAUGACUGGGCGUAAGGCGCGCGUAGGCGGACCAUCAAGUCGGGGGUGAAAUCCCGGGGCUCAACCCCGGAAUGGCCUUCGAGACUGGUGGUCUUGAGUUCGAGAGAGGUGAGUGGAAUUCCGAGUGUAGAGGUGAAAUUCGUAGAUAUUCGGAGGAACACCAGUGGCGAAGGCGGCUCACUGGCUCGACACUGGCGCUGAGGUGCGAAAGCGUGGGGAGCAAA
rnacentral:rRNA from 1 species